rnacentral:lncRNA from 1 species
AAAGUCAUACUUCCAAUCCUCCAGAAUAGAUUACUUCUGAUUUGAAAGGAUAAAUUUCUUAGGGAAAUCAGUGCAUUGGUUACAUUAAAACUGUGUGACAGGCUUGGAAGUCUGAAAGAGCAGGAGAGAGGCUAAGCACACACAUAUUGUGAUUUUAGGAGUCUCAAGGUGAGAAGAAACAUCAGAAGCAGUUGACAGACCAGAGCAUGGGUCCUCAAAGGAUGAACAGAAGUUCUUUUGGAUAACAUUUUUAAAUGUUUCCUCCAGAGUUAUCUGCCUCAUUAACAAUGGUUUGAGUCUCAAGAGUCUCUCUUCGAUUUUACAAACAUGAUUUGUUGUUCUGCUAUAAAUUCAUGCUGUUCUAGUCCUUCAAUAAGUCCACAACAUAUUUUCACCA